UCCGAUGGCGAGGAGUUCGAUGUGGAAGAGGCGAAAGCAAACUCGCCGCGCUGCCAGGUGAUGAAGCCGUUGCGCUCGCCCAUGAGCCAGGCUGUGGGCUCAGCCACGUCGACGCCGGGGCCGGUGAGGUGAUGACGGCGGCGGCAAAGGCCAAAUCACACUGGUUGAAAGGGCAUCCCGGAUGGGGGAGGAGGUGAAUGGCUGUUGUGUUUGUGUUUGUGAAUGAGGAGGAUAGAAGGAUUUUCAAAGAGCUUGUUCUGGUUCUAAAGACUGCAGGAGCACCGAUACCCCGUGAAAUUGCAAAUUCAAGAUACACAACUAGUGUUUGUGUUGGUAGAGAGAGGAAGAGAAAGUUGAGUUCUAGUUUCUCACAUGGAUUUUAUAUCGAUGUAUUUAUAUUAUUAUUGCAUAUUUAUAUCGUCAAUAUAAUAUUAGUGUUAUGGUGAUAUUUUAUCACAUGGAUUUUGCAUAUUAUAUUAAUAUUUAUCGUUUCGUAUA